rnacentral:rRNA from 1 species
UACGUAGGGGGCAAGCGUUGUCCGGAAUCAUUGGGCGUAAAGAGCUCGUAGGCGGUUCGGCAAGUCAGCUGUGAAAAUCUCCACGCUCAACGUGGAGGGGUCAGCUGAUACUGCUGUGACUCGAGUCCGGUAGGGGAGUGUGGAAUUCCCGGUGUAGCGGUGAAAUGCGCAGAUAUCGGGAGGAACACCAGUAGCGAAGGCGGCACUCUGGGCCGGUACUGACGCUGAGGAGCGAAAAGCGUGGGGAGCAAACAGG